UACAUGGGGUGCAAACGUUGCUCGGAAUUAUUGGGCGUAAAGCGCACGUAGGCGGUUUGUUAAGUCGGAUGUGAAAUCCCUCGGCUCAACUGAGGAAGUGCAUCCGAAACUGGCAAGCUUGAGUACGAAAGAGGAUCGCGGAAUUCCCGGUGUAGAGGUGAAAUUCGUAGAUAUCGGGAGGAACACCGGUGGCGAAGGCGGGUCUCUGGGCCGAUACUGACGCUGAGGAGCGAAAGCGUGGGGAGCGAACAGG
rnacentral:rRNA from 1 species